GGUGUGGUUUGGGCCUAAGUGUCCAGGUGAGUCACGUUUCUCUUCUUCUGUGGUUUCCUGCAGACACACCUGGAGCAGAAGGUGAUCUACGAGAAGGCGUGCUUCCCGAUCCUCCGUAACUACGUCCUGCUCCUCGCCGACAUCAUGAUCGGAGUCUUCUUCACUCUGGCUGUUCUGGCGCUGCUGGGCCUGGCUCUGAGCUCGGUGAUGAUCCAUCAGAUGCGCCACGCCCUCCGUGCCCCGAUGAUGACGAUCCCCGCCAUCUUCUCCGCCAUGCCGCCCAAAUACGAGGAGCUGAAAAACCCUCCGGAGUAUUAAACACUCCUCCUCCUCCUCCUCCUCCUCCUCCUCUUCUUCUUCCUCGUCCUCUUCAUGUAUUCAUUCAGUGCCAUAUCGUGCCUUACUCGUGACAUUGGGUUUAUUCUCUAAUGCAGAUCAGCUUUUUGAUGUAUUAAUCACAGAGGUUUUUUUGUCUGAUUUUGUUCAUUGCUUUUUGUGUUUUCCUCUCAACAUUAAACGUUAGGUUGCAAAAUAUUUAGUUUAAGAACAUUUUGAGACUAUUCUCUCCAUUUUGGCUCGUUUUGUUUUUAUAAUAAUACAAUAAUAAUAAAUACGUUUUGGCUUUAGAUUAAUUUCUAAUACACGUUUUGAAUUUGGGACAACAUUUUGGCAAUUUAUUCCUUAAAAUGUGAUUGUUUUCUAAGGAACUGUGUGUUCCAUAUUUCACAAAAGAAAAGGAAAUUAGUGCAUUUAAAAAAGUUAAAAGUCAAACUACAUUGAAAGAUCACUAAUGUAAAGGUUUGAUAGUCUUGAAUGCUCUUAACAUCCUGAUAGCAGUAAAUACAUUAAAUGCUUUAAAAAUAAAUACAUAAAAACAUCUCAUCUCUGGAAGCCGUAGUACUGUAACGACCAAUCAUCUGAGCCGGCCCGGCUAAAGUAACUGGAUGGCCUACCUGCCUGUCAGCCCUCCAUCUCAUGCACAAACUUGCUGCAGUUUCACUUUCAUUUAUCUCUCGUUAUAAUGUUUACAAAGCAACUUUUUGAUACUUUUCUUUUUCUUAAUUGGUUGAAACUAUCAAAUGAAUGUAGUUUGAAGACCAAAGUGCCUUCAAUGCUUGCACUGAUCGUCAUUUUUUAUAUUUAAUGGGCCUUUUUAACGCACAAAGCAUUAUCUUCCACUUUGACAAAAGAUAUCUUAAAUGUAAAAUAUGUUUUUGGUAGAUUUAAGUCAAACGUGUAAAAACAGACUUAUUUUGAAAUUAAAAUGCUUUUAGUUUGAAAUCCAGGAUAAAUGUUAUUUUGAUUGAAAUGUGUAUUUUAAAAAGGGAGAAAGUGUCUUUAAUUAAACAACUGGAAUUGGAUACAAAGGGAAAAAUGCUUUUGUUUGUGCUGUUUGUCUCUUUGUGACUAAAGCUGUAAACUGAUGACUUUCAAAAAAUAAAAUAAAUACAAAACAAA